AUUGAACGCUGGCGGCAGGCCUAACACAUGCAAGUCGAGCGGAGCGGCGGACGGGUGAGUAAUGCCUAGGAAUCUGCCUGGUAGUGGGGGAUAACGUCCGGACACGGGCGCUAAUACCGCAUACUAUCAGAUGAGCCUAGGUCGGAUUAGCUAGUUGGUGGGGUAAAGGCCUACCAAGGCGACGAUCCGUAACUGGUCUUAGAGGAUGAUCAGUCAAAUUGUAAAUGAUACACGGUCCAGACUCCUACGUGCGGCAGGAGGGGGGAAUAUGGGAAAAUGGGCGAAAGCCCGAUCCAGCCAUGCCGCGUGUGUGAAGAAGGUCUUCGGAUUGUAAAGCACUUUAAGUUGGGAGGCGUUACCAACAGAAUAAGCACCGGCUAACUUCGUGCCAGCCGCCGCGGUAAUUC
rnacentral:rRNA from 1 species